CCAGUGUGAGGUAGUAGGUUGUAUAGUUAAGGACUACAUCUAACAAGGAGAAAACUGUACAACUUGCUAACUUUCCCUGG
rnacentral:pre_miRNA from 1 species